rnacentral:rRNA from 1 species
UACAGAGGUCUCAAGCGUUUGUUCGGAUUCAUUGGGCGUAAAGGGUGCGUAGGCGGCGCGGUAAGUCGGGUGUGAAAUCUCGGGGCUUAACUCCGAAACUGCAUUCGAUACUGCCGUGCUUGAGGACUGGAGAGGAGACUGGAAUUUACGGUGUAGCGGUGAAAUGCGUAGAUAUCGUAAGGAAGACCAGUGGCGAAGGCGGGUCUCUGGACAGUUCCUGA